GUGAGCAGAGAUCGCGCCACUGCACCCCAGCCUAGAUGACAGUGUGAGACUUCACCUGAAAACAAACAAACAAAAAAACCCCAAACAAACCUGUGUACCCUAAACCUAAACGUACUAAUUGAUCACAUUUUGCCAUAUUUGCUCAUCUGUACUCUCUCUCCCUGUGUGUGUGCAUUUUUUCUCCCUAAAUCAUUUGAGAGCAAGUUGCAAGCAGGCUAGUUACCAUUGUUACCGGUCUGGAGUUCCUUUCAUAUAAAACAUGUGACCCAAGCUAGAUCAAUUGAACAGAUUACUCUUCGGAAUUUGAAUCUUGGAAUAGGGUAAUGAGAGGACAGGAUAAAAUGAGUGGUCUUUUCUAGAUCUACUGCUGGUCUCAGAUAAGAUGUUCAAGUAUGGCCAGGCGCAGUGGCUUACACCUGUAAUCCCAGCACUUUGGGAGGCCAAGGCAGGUGGAUCACCUGAGGUCAGGAGUUCAAGACCAGCCUGGCCAAAGUGGUAAAAUCCUGUCUCUAUUAACAAAAAUUAGCCAGGUGUGGUGGCACAUGC
rnacentral:lncRNA from 10 species